rnacentral:rRNA from 1 species
GAUUGAACGCUGGCGGCAGGCCUAACACAUGCAAGUCGAACGGUAACAGGAAGCAGCUUGCUGCUUCGCUGACGAGUGGCGGACGGGUGAGUAAUGUCUGGGAAACUGCCUGAUGGAGGGGGAUAACUACUGGAAACGGUGGCUAAUACCGCAUAACGUCGCAAGACCAAAGAGGGGGACCUUCGGGCCUCUUGCCAUCAGAUGUGCCCAGAUGGGAUUAGCUAGUUGGUGAGGUAACGGCUCACCAAGGCGACGAUCCCUAGCUGGUCUGAGAGGAUGACCAGCCACACUGGAACUGAGACACGGUCCAGACUCCUACGGGAGGCAGCAGUGGGGAAUAUUGCACAAUGGGCGCAAGCCUGAUGCAGCCAUGCCGCGUGUAUGAAGAAGGCCUUCGGGUUGUAAAGUACUUUCAGCGGGGAGGAAGGUGUUGUGGUUAAUAACCACAGCAAUUGACGUUACCCGCAGAAGAAGCACCGGCUAACUCCG